rnacentral:tmRNA from 1 species
GGGGGUGUUCCGGCUUCGACGGGGGUAGUGAGAUGGUUUGGUGCAUGCCGAGGGGGCAGCUUUCCUCGUUAAUCCAGCGGCAAAACCACAGACGCCAACGACGACGUCUACGCACUGGCCGCUUAAGGCCUAGCCCCGAACCCACUUGUGCCUGUGCUCGUGGAUGUAGGGUCAUUAUCACAGGAUCGCUGCCGAUCGCCGCCUGCCGGUCGAUGGCUAGAUCUAGCGGGCUGGUUUCCCGGUGCGCCUCGCACACCGUGCUGCCGGGAAACGAGACUCAACGGUGAGCUAAGCAUGUAGUACCGGGCGUCAAACGCCUUCGGACGCGGGUUCGACUCCCGCCACCUCCACCA